rnacentral:rRNA from 1 species
CGGCCCUACGGGGGGCAGCAGUGGGGGAUAUUGCACAAUGGGGGAAACCCUGAUGCAGCGACGCCGCGUGUGGGAAGACGGUCCUCUGGAUUGUAAACCACUGUCCCCAGGGACGAAGAUGACGGUACCUGGGGAGGAAGCUCCGGCUAACUACGUGCCAGCAGCCGCGGUAAUACGUAGGGAGCGAGCGUUGUCCGGACUUACUGGGUGUACAGUGAGCGUAGGCGGGGAUG